rnacentral:rRNA from 2 species
AGAGUUUGAUCCUGGCUCAGAACGAACGCUGGCGGCAGGCUUAACACAUGCAAGUCGAACGCACCGCAAGGUGAGUGGCAGACGGGUGAGUAACGCGUGGGAACGUGCCCUUCAGUUCGGGAUAACCCAGGGAAACUUGGGCUAAUACCGGAUACGUGCGAGAGCAGAAAGAUUCAUCGCUGAAGGAUCGGCCCGCGUCUGAUUAGCUAGUUGGUAGGGUAAUGGCCUACCAAGGCGACGAUCAGUAGCUGGUCUGAGAGGAUGAUCAGCCACAUUGGGACUGAGACACGGCCCAAACUCCUACGGGAGGCAGCAGUGGGGAAUAUUGGACAAUGGGCGCAAGCCUGAUCCAGCCAUGCCGCGUGAGUGAUGAAGGCCUUAGGGUUGUAAAGCUCUUUCGUCCGGGACGAUAAUGACGGUACCGGAAGAAGAAGCCCCGGCUAACUUCGUGCCAGCAGCCGCGGUAAUACGAAGGGGGCUAGCGUUGUUCGGAAUCACUGGGCGUAAAGGGCGCGUAGGCGGCCUGAUAAGUCGGGGGUGAAAGCCUGUGGCUCAACCACAGAAUUGCCUCCGAUACUGUCGGGCUUGAGACCGGAAGAGGUAAGUGGAACUGCGAGUGUAGAGGUGAAAUUCGUAGAUAUUCGCAAGAACACCAGUGGCGAAGGCGGCUUACUGGUCCGGUUCUGACGCUGAGGCGCGAAAGCGUGGGGAGCAAACAGGAUUAGAUACCCCCGUAGUCC